rnacentral:misc_RNA from 1 species
CCGCGGACCGACUGAUUGAUGUUCUGCUGCGCGGCGCCGUAUUGCUUCUGCUUCAGCGAGCGCACGCCCGCGACCAGCCGCGCGACGCGAUUGUUCUUGUCGAUGGUGAGAAUGCGGUCGGCGAGCUUCACGGCUUCGUCGAUGUCGCCAUCGGCAAGCGAGGCGAUGAAGGCGCGGUCGAGCAGUUCGUUGUUCUUCGGGUCCGAGCGCAGCGCCGCGCGGUAGAACGCCGAUGCGGCGGUCGCGUCGCGA